UAGAGACAGAAUGAGGCAGAAGAAAGCUGGGCAAGGGCCCAGGUUUUAUGGGAAGCAAUGGACGAAGCAGGGUAGGCAAGGCUGGGCAAAUUGAUGAUUAGUUAGUAUGGAUAAUUUGGGUAGGCCCUGGGAUGUAGGGAUGGUCUCUGAUUGUUUAGUUACCUUGCUGUGGAGUGAUUAAAAUAGAGAAUUAUUUCCUCUUGGGGUAGAAAAGCCAAGAUAGGGGAGGUGUUCAAAGUAUGGGCUGUGGGUUGGUUGAUUGGCAUGUCAGAUGUGUGCUCAUAGGCAAAUUGUUUCGCUCUCUGGGUAUUAGCUAGAUCUGGGAGGAGAAGUCUCUCUAGGAUUAGCAAGGCCUCCACCAUGUAAAAGCCGUGCAAAAAA